rnacentral:tRNA from 1 species
GUCUUUGUAGCUUAAGGGAUAAAGCGUUUAUUUUGUAAGUAAAAUAGUAUAGGUUCAAGUCCUAUCAAAGGCU